UGCUCCCCGGCCGGGCCACGGGCCGAGCGGCUCCUGGGCGCCUGCGGGAGGAGCCCCCGGCCCGGCCGCUGCCCCCGCUCGCGUUCCAGUUGCUUUCUUAUGAUUAUUUUUUCUACAGCUGCAGCAGAGGAAGGUCCUGGGCUUUUGUGUGAGCCCGCGCGCCGCCCUUCUCUCCGGGAGCGAAUGGGAACCGCGCGCGGGCAGCUCCGUGCUGUGUCUAGGGAGCGCCUUAGCGCGCCAUCCCCGUUUAGCCUGGCAGCCUCCCUGUAGAGGCAACAACCGUUAGCUCCUUCGUUAGGGUCUGGAGGGACACUGAGGCCCAGCCCCAGGAGGUAGAGGUUGCUUUUCUCUCUAUACAGUUGAGGAAGCAGGUUCAGAGAGGCUGAGGAACUGGACCAGCUUGCACAUUAUAACUGUCUCAAAACAGUCAAGCCCCACCCCGGUCAUCUGCCUCUGACUGAACACACCCCGCACACUGCACAGGGCCUGCCGUAGCCUGGUUCCAGAACCCAAGCAGCGAGAAACCGUAGACGAGGUGCACGUUUCACAGUGAAUGAAGGAACUGGGGCUGACACCCUGGUGGACAGCCCUGUGGUUUGCUGAAGGGUGUCUAAUGGUUCUGAGACUAAGGUUCGAAAUCUCUGAAAGCACCUCUAAACAAAACGUUAAUUAUGGUGUUUUUGCAAUUCGACUUUGCCCUUCAUCCUCAGCCUUCCUUCCUCGAUGCUGCCUGCCCUGGUUUUCUGUGGAAGAUUCCUUUUUUUUUUUUUUUUUUUUGAGAUGGAGUCUUGCUCUGUCACCCAGGCUAGAGUGCAGUGGCGCGGUCUCAGCUCACUGCAGCGUCUGCCUCCUGGGUUAAAGCAGUUUCCCUGCCUCAGCCUCCCGAGUAGCUGGGAUUACAGGUGUCUGCCACCACACCUGGCUAAUUUUUGUAUUUUUAGUGGAGACGGGGUUUCACCAUCUUGGCCAGGCUGGUCCCGAACUCCUGACCUUGUGAUCCACCCGCCUCGGCCUCCCAAAGUGCUGGGAUUACAGGCGUGAGCCACCGUGCCCGGCCUUUAUGGAAGAUUUCAUUAAGAAAACAGGUAAUAGGCAGGGCUAAAGAGUUGCAUGUGCUUGGGGAGGGGAAGCUACAGAGGCUGGUAAUUUCUGAUUUCUGUGUAAAUUGUCCCAAGAGCUGACCUCAUACUUGUAAGCACAGCACCUCCCAGGAUGAGUGAGAAGGGCAGGGUUGUCAAUUAGAGGAAACUUAAUUUAAUUGUAUCACUCUAGUUCAAAGCCCUCAUUUA